GCGAGGACCCCUAAGAUGGCGGCCAUCGCGAUGCCUGUGCGCAAGUCGCAACGGAUGCACUUGUCACGAAGGACACAAGACAGAAGCUCUGUCCCGAGACGCUUUCGAGUUACGUUGAGACUGAGGAUUCCCCAAUCUUCCACAAUGGACUUCACAUAGGAUGAACUGUUUCCAGUUUCAGCAAAACAGCAAGAAUUUAUGAAUGGAUGACUGCACCUUAGCACUCUUCACUCCCACUGCAUGCCUCACCUGGGCCACAGAGAAAACAAUGUUGCUGCCUGUACAUGGCACAUUUAACCUCUAACCUUACAGCUGAAUCAAUGCAGUAACACUGUUAACUACCAAUGAUAUUGUACCAAAUGUUCAGACUGAAUAUACAGAGAACUGGUCCCCAGUGUUUUUGGUUAGUCUGGUUUCUCCAAAGGUUUUUUUUACUCCAGUAUCGACAUCUUACAGUUUUUUCUUAAUUAACCCCUGUUGCCUUUGGCUUGCUUGCUGUAUGUAUGACGACUAAUGCAUUUAACACCAACUAUUAAAACAGUGAGGGUGUUUUUGACAACAUAGACACAAUAGUAUGUCUUUCUGUAAAGAUUCUUUGAAAAUGUUAUGCAUUUUGAAAAAUGUAUAAAUGUCUUACAUAGAUAGUGUGCAUAUUCCUUGAACAUUUAUAUGUAAAAAAAAAAAAACAGUAGAAUCAUUAUAUUAUAAUUGCAAAUUAUAAUUAUAUAGCAAUUAUUGCUAUCUAUAUAAACUAUCUAGCUGUAUUUUUAGUUACUUUCAGUGCACAAACAACCAUUAUUCACUUACUAUACUUAAUGGUAUAAAUAUAAUAGGCAUACUGACAUACUUCAUGUAAAAUUAAUAUAACAUUCAUUUUACAUAAAAUAAUAAUAUAUAUGUAUAUAAUACAACAAUAACAUGGUUCUGCACAAGCAAUUGCGAUAUUAUAUCAUUUAGAUUAACAAUAUAAAUUUACACACACACAUCGAGUAGCUGUAUGCUAUGCUGAUACGCGAGUAACAAAAAAAACGAGAAAUGUUUGAUUUCACAACCUAAAGCGCGUCGGCUAUAUACUAGCAUAUAAAACAUGUAAUUUAAAGUACAUAAAUUGUCAUUAUAGCAAAGUUCAAACGACAAAAAUAAAAACGCUAUUUAGCAGGAAUUGUAAUCAGGCGCUAAAAAAUAAUACCCAUUAAUUGUUCGUUGAGCCAAUGGGAUCACUCGGGGUCCUAAGCGGACUCGAUUUCUCGGGCGGACUCGAUUUCUCAUGACACCGGUCCUAGCUCGAUAGUGGAAACACGGCUAUUGAUGCUUUCUUCACCCGGAAGUACGUCCCAGUCUCCCUCCGCGAGCCGGAAGUGCUCGGGAUCCGUCUUUGUGUUUGUGUUUAUCUCCGCUGCUCGCUCCAGAACACCGCGCCAGAGGAAAAGAGAUGAAGAUGAAGAUGAAGAUGAACACAGAUGAGUGUUUGAGAGAGGGAUGUUCUGAGAGUGACAGAGCGGUGCCUCGUUAAUGACAAACCCUGCAUUAAUAAAAAUAAAAAUAAUAAUACCAAACAGAUCGAUGAUCAACAGUGUCAACUUGAUGUUUAUCAGUUUGUCAGAACAUUUGUCAUUAACCAAAAUAUAUGAAAACUUAACUUUUCACCUCGUCUCCACUACAACAUUUGAUGGGCUAAAAUAACAACAAAAAAUUAUUAUUAUUAUAAAAAUAAAAACUGUAUAGUAUACGUUAAAGAAAAAAACUAAUAGAAAAGGCAAAACGUACAACUGAAAAACUAAAAUCAACAUGAAAACAGAAUAUAUAGAUAUAAAAACAUUUUAUAUUAGUUAUAAUUUUGUAAUAUUUUUAUUAUAAAGUCAAAAAAUAAUUUAAAUUUAAAUAUGGUAUUUUACAGUGUCCUAAUACUGUGUUGCAGUCCCCUACAACAACCUUAAAUUAAUCUAAUUUUCUCAGAAUAUAUGUUUAUUAUUAGAGUGAUUUUUCAAUGAUUUCGAAAGGAUUUGUUCAAAGCAGUUCUGAGCUCAAGAACCGCAAACUCCUCCCCUCCAUCAGCCUGCUCUGCUCUGAUUGGUCAGCUGGCCAAGUCUGUUGUGAUUGGUCCUUUUCGUAAACAACACACCCAUUAUCAUAAUACAUGUUAUGGGAGGAGGGAAUUAUGCAAAUGUGUUACCUUGUGAUGUAUAUACAGGUAACAGACAGAUGAUAAAAAAUUAUAUAUAUGUAUUUACUUUUGAAAUAGUUUUUUACUAAUGGUAAAACUAAAUAGUAUUUUAUUUUAUUUGUUGUAAGUUAUAAUAUAUUUUUAUGCAUUUAUUUUAUAUUUAUUUUACCCUUUGUAUAUGGUCUUUAUAUUUUCAUAAGUAUUGCAAAUAUUAGUGCAGACAAUCAUUUACAAAUAUAUAUUUUAAAGUUGUAAAUUUUUACAAUUAUUAUAAAUUUUUUUACACUACGCUAACCUUGCCAUGUCAUAAAUGUUUUUAUUUAUAGUUCAUAAAACUUUAAAUAAAUUGCAGUGAACCAUUUUUGUAAGUGUAUUUGAUCAUCAUGAGUUGUCACUGAAGUCGUUUAUAAUGAUGUCUGUAUUAGACUGAAGGCUGUGUGUGUGAUUAUAGAUCUGAUGUGUGUGUGUGUGUGUGUGUGUGUGUAUUCUGUGUUUUCAGAGAAUGCUCUGAGUCAUGGCUCCUCCCCUUCGCUGUCAGAGUUCAGCCCUGAGCGAAGCCCAUUGGUUGUUCAGCUGCAGACUCCUCCCCCCAGAACAAGCCCCGCCCACCACCCUGCAGGACCUCCAGAAUCACGACUGCUUGUCUUACGUCCUGCUCACUCUUGCCAAAGACGAGACUCUCAUCUGGUUGGCGGUGCUGGCGAGCCGCUGGUGUUUGUUCAGGACGAUGUGGACGAGGCGCAGGAGGAGGUUUGGGCUGGAGACUGUGCCGAUGGCAGCGCGCCGUGGUACCUGUGUGUCCAGGAGCUGGCUCAUGACAGCCUGAUCGCCGCCACACGAGCACAGCUGACCAGAGACACCCGCACCGGCUGCAACAGCGAGACACAUUCAUCUUCAUCAAACCAUCACUGCUCUGCGUCACGCCUGCUGCUCUCUAAUGUCUCGUGUCUGGUUGCCAAGGUGACCACAUCCACAGCUGUCAGUCAGACGGAGCCUCGAGCCGGACGCACGACGUCAGAGAAGAUCCACCGGUGCCCGUACGAGACCUGCCUCCAGACCUUCAGCUAUCCAGCUCACCUCAAAUACCACCUGAAAACACACAGGUGAAAUAGCUCUUCCUGUGUGAUGAUGAUAGCUGUGAAUAUUCCAGUCUGCGCAAACACAUGCUCGCACACUCGGGUGAGAAGCCGCACGUGUGCUCCGUCUGUGGGAAGUUGUUCUCUCAGAGCGGCAGCAGAAACGUUCACAUGAAGAAGAGACACAGCGAUGAAAGCAGAGACAUGGGUGAAGCACUCCCUCAGAGCCGCGGUGAUUCGAUGGUCAGCGUGAAUCUGAACCGACUGAUGCUCUGUCACAUGACCCACGGCAGUGACAUCAUCACGUGUUCUGUGUGCUCAGGUGCAGCAGACGCUGUCGUGGAUCUCACACCAGAACAUUUUGGCAAAAGCUCAGCAGAUUCAUCAUUGGCCAUAUUUAUAAAGACUUUGCCUUAUUGUGGAAGGAUGUUAUUUUUUGUUUUUAUAAAAGUCAAAGUAAAGAAAAAAACGUACUUCAUUAUAAAUUUAUUAAUACUUUUGGCAAAAUUUCACAUUCAUAAAUGUAAAUUCAGCUCUAAAAAACCUUGUUUUGUACUCUUUAUCCAUGAAGUUGAACAUUACAUUAAUCUGUUUCUGGCUCAAACAACAAAAAGGCUGUUAAAACUAUCAGCAUAUGGUCCUCCUUCACUUUGUAAUGACUUGUAAGCUUCCCCUGGCUACUUUAAUUUUUUUUGUAUAUUAUGGCUAAUCACAUGUGAAUUGUACCCUUUUUGCAAUAAAAAAAAAACAAACAAAAAAAACGCUGUCGUGGAUCUGACUCCGCCCCAUGACGGCAGGCCACGCCUACAGCGAUGACGUGGUUGGGCUGCUCUAACAGCUGCUUUAGUAUUUUUUGAUAAUUGUAUUUUCACUUGUAUUAACCUUCUCAGUUUCUGAUAAAGAUAAAGGUCAUCUAUCUAUCUGUGCUCCUGUAUAACUCUAUUCUAACUCUAUUAUACGGUGGUGGUGAUGUUGUGAAUCGAACGGCUCUGAGGUCUGUUGGCUUGUUGACUGGUCUCCAUGGUAACGCAGCAGCAUGGCGUUCCUGCGCUGGAGUGGUGAGGAUGUGGCUCGCUGGAUCGAGUCUGUCGGGUUCCCCCAGUAUAAGGCGUGUUUCACUCAGAAUUAUAUCACGGGCAGAAAACUGAUUCAUGUCAACUGCUUCACCCUGCCACGACUGGGAAUCACUGACUUCCAGCACAUGCAGCUGAUCUCAGCUCAGGUCAGAGAACUGCUGGACGUCUCGGAGCCGCGCUGGAACCAGAGCAUCGCUGACCCUCUUCAUGAUGAGCGGACGGUGUUCCUGCAGAAGAAGAGCAGAAGCGGUCAGCAGACAGAUUCCCUCACAUACGAGCAUCUCCUCCAGAACAAGAGCCAGUAAACCCAUCAAGACAUUAUCAUAAACAUAUAUAAUAAACAGCUUCUGAACAUGC